GCCUGCCUCCUCUUUAAUAAACAGGUGCAGCUGACAGAUGCUACAGAUCCCAUCAUGCCAUGCUCCACUCCCCUGCACCUGAGAUCAAGAUACACCUCCCUCCCAAGACUGCAUGUGGGGACAUGUGGUCUCUGCAGGCCAUGCCCAGAGUAGGCUGUAUGUGUGCACUCUGUGUGAAAAGGAUGAUAGUCAGCCAGGUGGAAUGGUCUUUGCUCUCCUUUGUCAGGUACUCUUCUCCAUCUCUCCUCCUCAUCUCUUUUCGGCAAUGACUUCACCUCCUCAAUUAUUAAUCCUCUUUUUGCAGCCCCAGCUGUGGUUGGAUUAAGCCCAUUAAACCUCCUCUGGGAUUGGCCCCAGAGAAGGAGGCAGGUUUCCAGGAAGUGCAUUAGAGAUGAGAGCACAGACAGGGAGCUGAGACAAACAGAAGGGGAGGAGAUGGCCUCUCUGAACAGCCUCCUCUGUUUCCCAUCAGCUAUGGUAUUGGUAGCCAAGGCAAGAAGCAAUGAUGAGUAAAAGGGGCAUCAUGUGAACCAUCUCCUUGCAGACUGCACCAAGCUGGAGCCUGGGAGAGCAUGACUCAGGAUGCAUUUUGGCCAUGAAAUUAGCCAUGGGACUCAGCCAGCAGGGGAGAAACAUCUAGAACAAAGCCCAGGACAAUUUAGCUCUCAAAUCUGGAUGCCUAACAAAGCAUGCUUGAACUUUCUUCCCCCUUGGCUGUCCCCAUUGCUUUUGGUAGCAGAGUAAGGGGAUUUGGACUAUAUGGCUCUCCCCACAGUAAGGGAGAAGCUGCUGAUCUCAUCUGACUUGCACUUACAAAUCCUGGGGGUUCUGACUAGCUGGUGUGUCUCUUGUGAAGUCAUCGCUGUUCCCUUGUAAUCGCCCUGAUUAGCAGACGGGAUGACCCAUCCCGCCUACUCUGCUCAGCCAGCUGUGCCCCAUACUGCACCGUAGCCACAUGGGCACACAGCGAUCACUGUGGGGCAAUUCUCCCCUUUACACCACUCUGGUGACAUAAAGAAGGCAGAAAUGGCCUCUGAAUACCCACUGUAAAGGGGAGCUCUCUGUCUGGGAUAGGGUUGUGCAGCCCCGCCCUGCCCUGGGCCCCAGCAUAGUGGGCGAGUCAGAAGCAUGCUACAGGAGCGUCUGCUGCUCUCCAUGCUGAGGUACAAACCUGCCACGACAGUGUAAAUGGCCCAGGGACAUCUCCAUGCUCCCGACCAGGACUUUGGCACAGGCCUAAAGGAGGCUGUCGGCAGAGAAUCAUCCUAGGUUUUACACAGGGUCCAAUGCAUGCUGGGAGUGUAGUGACUGCUGUGUGAACACUCAUGCAGGGCAGCUUGUCGAAGUGCCCAAAGGCCUGGGGGCAGAGGCAUCACAUUUAUGAGUGGUUGGUUGAUCGCUUUCUGCCUGUCCUUGCCUGUUUCCUCUGUGCAUGUCUGCACCACUGUUUCGCAAAGGCUGUGGCUCCCAACGAAAGGGCAGCUUAGUCAAUAAAACUUAGAGAUUGUAAGAGCGGGAGAGUGGGGGGCACUGCUGCCUGCUCAGGGCACUGGGACGGCACUGGUGCCCCCAGAAGGGGCCUAGAGCAGUUCAUGCCCUCUGGUGGCUGGGACCCUGUUGCAGAGCAUGGGGAAGGGCAGGCAUGGCUGAGGAUCUGUACAGCCACCCCACAACGCUGAGCAUCACUAUCUGUGUCUAAGGGCAAGGGGGUAUGCUGGGGACCGGCUGAGGUACCCACAAUGCUCCACUCCUAUUGCCCUGGCCAAUGUACGUACUAUGCUCUACUCCUACUGCCCCAGCUGAGGUACCCACCUCUGCUACUCUAGUGCCCUGGCCUGGUACCCACAGUGCUCUACUCCCAUUGGUGCAGAAGGGGGCGGGCUCUACAUGGUGGACACAGCUAGCAGCCAAUGAGCUGGCCUUCUUUGACGGAGGGGCCCUGAUUUAAGUAAGCCAGGC